rnacentral:rRNA from 1 species
UACGUAGGGUGCAAGCGUUGUCCGGAAUUAUUGGGCGUAAAGAGCUCGUAGGCGGUCUGUUGCGUCGGCUGUGAAAACCCGGGGCUCAACCCCGGGCCUGCAGCCGAUACGGGCAGACUAGAGUUCGGCAGGGGAGACUGGAAUUCCUGGUGUAGCGGUGAAAUGCGCAGAUAUCAGGAGGAACACCGGUGGCGAAGGCGGCUUUCUGGGCCUUACCUGACGCUGAGGAGCGAAAGCUGGGGGAGCGAACAGG